AUUGAACGCUGGCGGCAUGCUUUACACAUGCAAGUCGAACGGUAACAGGCCUUCGGGUGCUGACGAGUGGCGAACGGGUGAGUAAUGCAUCGGAACGUACCCAGAGGUGGGGGAUAACGCAGCGAAAGCUGUGCUAAUACCGCAUGUGAUCUGAGGAUGAAAGCGGGGGACCGAGCAGCAAUGUUUGGCCUCGCGCCUUUGGAGCGGCCGAUGUCGGAUUAGCUAGUUGGUGGGGUAAAGGCCUACCAAGGCGACGAUCCGUAGUUGGUCUGAGAGGACGACCAGCCACACUGGGACUGAGACACGGCCCAGACUCCUACGGGAGGCAGCAGUGGGGAAUUUUGGACAAUGGGCGCAAGCCUGAUCCAGCAAUGCCGCGUGCGGGAAGAAGGCCUUCGGGUUGUAAACCGCUUUUGGCAGGAACGAAACGGUGUCCGCUAAUACCGGGCGCUAAUGACGGUACCUGCAGAAUAAGCACCGGCUAACUACGUG
rnacentral:rRNA from 1 species